UACGUAGGGUGCAAGCGUUGUCCGGAAUUAUUGGGCGUAAAGAGCGUGUAGGCGGCCAGGUAGGUCCGUUGUGAAAACUGGAGGCUUAACCUCCAGCUGUCGAUGGAAACCGUCUGGCUAGAGUCCGGAAGAGGAGAGUGGAAUUCCUGGUGUAGCGGUGAAAUGCGCAGAUAUCAGGAGGAACACCAAUGGCGAAGGCAGCUCGCUGGGACGGUACUGACGCUGAGACGCGAAAGCGUGGGGAGCAAACAGG
rnacentral:rRNA from 1 species